AUCUGACAGCAGAAGGAAUGAAAGCAUUCAAGGAAAACACUGGCAAUGCAAAGGAUAAGUGAACAUCUUUAUGACGUCAUACACUAAACAAAACAUUCAGCAUUCAGGGCUUGAAAUGAGCAUAUGACAUCUGAACGAGUUUGGUUUACGCAUUAAUAGGAGUUAAACUCACAAAAUAAAUGAACAUCAAUGCCUUGCAUUUUGCUAUUAAGAUAUAACAUUGGAUUAUAGCUGGCGAACCGGCAGGAUGGUUGACGCAGACCGGCGGUUGAGGCUUUUAUCUAUGAAUAUUCCAUCAUGUAGGACACUGGUUCCCAACCUUUCUAACCUGGCGGACCGGUAAAAUUAAAUAAAAUGUACUCGCGGAUCGGCAAAAAUUUAAAUGAAUGGAACAGAAAAUAAUAACAUAUAUUUGCGUAAUGUCGGGCAAUCACUACGCUUUGAGAAAAAAAGGUACACUUAAAAACAUUUCACAUGUGGAAAAACUAUCAAAUAGUGGCCGGACAAAAAUUGGAAUGGUUGGAACAUAAAAUAAUACCAUAUAUUUGCGUAAUAACAUGCAGUGGGCACCCACUAUGAUUAAAAAAAAGCCCACACCUCACAUAAAAAACAUGUACAUGCCAAAACAUGUACACACACAAUUAACUCCAGUGAGAAUUUUGCUGUUUCGUUUCCAAUACAGGAUUGCAAA